GCGUUGCCGUAGGCAACGACCCGAAGGGCGAAGCGCGCAGCGCUGAGUAAUCCUUCCCCCGUCAUCC
rnacentral:sRNA from 2 species